rnacentral:rRNA from 1 species
GAUGAACGCUGACAGAAUGCUUAACACAUGCAAGUCUACUUGAACUUCGGUUUGGGUGGCGGACGGGUGAGUAACGCGUAAAGAACUUGCCUCACAGUUAGGGACAACAUUUGGAAACGAAUGCUAAUACCUGAUAUUAUGAUUUUAGGGCAUCCUAGGAUUAUGAAAGCUAUAUGUGCUGUGAGAGAGCUUUGCGUCCCAUUAGCUAGUUGGAGAGGUAACGGCUCACCAAGGCGAUGAUGGGUAGCCGGCCUGAGAGGGUGAACGGCCACAAGGGGACUGAGACACGGCCCUUACUCCUACGGGAGGCAGCAGUGGGGAAUAUUGGACAAUGGACCAAAAGUCUGAUCCAGCAAUUCUGUGUGCACGAUGACGUUUUUCGGAAUGUAAAGUGCUUUCAGUUGGGAAGAAAAAAAUGACGGUACCAACAGAAGAAGUGACGGCUAAAUACGUGCCAGCAGCCGCGGUAAUACGUAUGUCACAAGCGUUAUCCGGAUUUAUUGGGCGUAAAGCGCGUCUAGGUGGUUAUGUAAGUCUGAUGUGAAAAUGCAGGGCUCAACUCUGUAUUGCGUUGGAAACUGCACAACUAGAGUACUGGAGAGGUAAGCGGAACUACAAGUGUAGAGGUGAAAUUCGUAGAUAUUUGUAGGAAUGCCGAUGGGGAAGCCAGCUUACUGGACAGAUACUGACGCUAAAGCGCGAAAGCGUGGGUAGCAAACAGG